GUCCAGGUAGCCUAAUACUAAAGGCAUUGGUCUUGUAAACCAAAGACUGAAAGUGAAAAUCUUUCCCAAGACU
rnacentral:tRNA from 1 species